UACGUAGGGCGCAAGCGUUAUCCGGAAUUAUUGGGCGUAAAGAGCUCGUAGGCGGUUUGUCGCGUCUGCCGUGAAAGUCCGGGGCUCAACUCCGGAUCUGCGGUGGGUACGGGCAGACUAAGUGAUGUAGGGGAGACUGGAAUUCCUGGUGUAGCGGUGAAAUGCGCAGAUAUCGGGAGGAACACCAGUGGCGAAAGCGCCUUGCUGGGCCAGUACUGACACUGAGGAACGAAAGCCAGGGGAGCGAAAGGG
rnacentral:rRNA from 1 species